rnacentral:rRNA from 1 species
UACGUAGGGUGCGAGCGUUAAUCGGAAUUACUGGGCGUAAAGCGUGCGCAGGCGGUGAUGUAAGACCGAUGUGAAAUCCCCGGGCUUAACCUGGGAACUGCAUUGGUGACUGCAUUGCUGGAGUAUGGCAGAGGGGGGUGGAAUUCCACGUGUAGCAGUGAAAUGCGUAGAGAUGUGGAGGAACACCGGUGGCGAAGGCAGCCCCCUGGGCCAAUACUGACGCUCAUGCACGAAAGCGUGGGGAGCAAACAGG